GAAAUGCGAUACGUAGUGUGAAUUGCAGAAAACCGUGAACCAUCAAAUCUUUGAACGCAUAUUGCGCUCGAGGCCUCGGCCAAGAGCAUGUCUGCCUCAGCGUCGGGUUAAUACUCGCUCUCAAAACCCCUUUGGGUUUUCAAAGCGGAACUGGUAGUCCCAAUUCUCACGAGUUGGGUCUGCUGAAGCGCAGAGGUUGAUGUAUGGACCCGCUAUGGGCCGCAAUUGGGUGGGCAAUUCAUUGCUAUUUCUAAUUGUUGGCUUGGGACUGUGCAUCCGACCCUCAAACAGGAAACCCUUUUUUCUCGACCUGAGCUCAGGCAAGAUUACCCGCUGAACUUAA
rnacentral:misc_RNA from 1 species